rnacentral:lncRNA from 1 species
UAAAUUUGAGAUCUAACUAAAUGUAAUAAUCUCAACAUAAAACCAACUAAUUAACUCCUAAUUCAAAUGGAAUUAAAAUCUCUAAUAAAUUUGCAAUAAAUCUUUAUGAAAUCAUCAAUCCAAAAGUCGAGCAUGUUGAAGUCGAUACUUGACCUCAAUUUCCUUGAAAAUUCUGCACAAGAAAUGCACAUAAGAAAAUUUAUAACUAUAUAAUAAUAGAAAUUAGAUCCUCAUUAACUAGAACAAAUUGGGAUAUCAAAAAUGACUAAUUGAAUUUUUCUAAAAACAAACAUAUUAAGGAAUUGAUGCAAAACGUAGUAAUUAUAUACAUGAAAUUUUCCUCCUUUUGAAAGAAAAGAAAGAUCUUGUAGUUUUUUCUAAACAUACCCACUUCUUUUUAUUUGUGCCAACUACGGUAGUUCCAGUCUUCUUGAUCAUGUUAGCCUGAGAAAAAAUAUUAAAUUGAUUAUUUUGAUACUUUACGAAAUACAAAACUUAACAUUUCAUCGAAUACAUAAGUGUGCCAAUUAGGAAAAUAAAAAAGGAAGAUAUAUGAUUGCUUCAACAAAACAAAUAUCUGGUGUUGGGACAAAGAUACAAACAUCUUAUAAUGCAACUAACAGUGUGAUAGCAUUAUAUGAGUUUUUCUAACACAAUGUUCACAUAUCAUUAGUUCUUGACCACAAAACCUAGCAUAUCUAUAGUCAACUAGUUCAUCCAAAUACCUCUAAAUCCAUUCCAACCAACUCUGCAGAUAUUGAUUUGAACAAAGCAGGAAACACUAGUUUUCGUCAAAGAAUACAAUAAGCCACACAACAAACCAUAACAUCCCUAUAAUGAACUCAAUGCAACUUAACAUUCUAUACAGACACUGUUUUCCUUUUCGAGGUAAAGAGAAUUUAAAAUUUGUACCCCCUUACUUCUUAUAAAUUGUUUUUCUGAACCAAAAGUAACUUUUCUUUUCUUUUUACUCCUUGCAGAAAGAACCAAUUUAAAGGGAUUUUCCUUUUCCCAACCUCACUGCAUUAGCUGUAUCUUGAUAAUUCUGGAUGAUUUCUCAUAUUGAUAUUACCAAGUGGAUAAAUUAUAUCUUUUCUCAGAUUUGGCAACCAGAGCUUUGUAGAUGAGAGGCACUUUCAUAGAUAUGAGGUUCAACACUUUUUUUUCUUUAAAUUUCGAAUUGUGGUGUAACUAUUGCACAUCUAGGUGGACUAGUUUAAUAAUUAUAUGUGGACCAUGUAAAACAGAGAGCUAAAACAGAGUAGAAUUGAACAAUUAGCUUAUCAAAAACAACAUGAUCAAAUUCUAAAACUACAGCUCCAAAUCCAGUCUACUAGUACAUCCAACGCCAACUAGCUCCACAUCUAGCUUUAUUGAAAUCACAAAAUAAACCGUACAGUAAACCAAAUCUUAGCAACAUUAAAACUCCAUUCUCUGACUUUUGACGCCUUCUCACUAAUUUCUCAAACCAAUACUAAAGAAAGAAUUACUGUCUUACACAAGACACCUCUGAUGAACAAGCUAUGAAUGUCAUCUAACAAACUAGAGGUGGAUGGUAUUUGGACCCUGAGAAAAUGUAGGGAACUUGUUCUAUGGAGUUUCAGGUUCAGAUAUCAAAGUGAAGAAAAAAUAAAGGACGUGUGAUAAUGAGAGAUCAUAAGGGUUUUAUCACUAAUCUGGCCUAGACAAGCUGAGAGGAGGAACUUGAACUCUAUUAUAAGCUCAUGCUUUUUAAAUAACAAUUUUCACCAGAAACUGUUGUAUGGACCUGUUGAAGUUACAUGUUUGGGGAUUGUGUUAAGUUGAUUUACCUCUAAGUUGAGUAUUUGUAUGACUUUAACUACAUGCUAAAUUGACUUAAUUUUUAUUUGUCUUAUUGGACCAAGAACCUGAAAAUGUCUUUUCAUACACGGAAGCUUGUCCCUUGUUAUUCUACCUUUGCAAACUACCAUCUGCAAUAGUGGCUAACAUCAAACUUUUUUUUUUGCAGACCUAGCAGCUCUGAGCAGACCUCUUCAAGUCGUCGACACUCUGAUAUAUUUGAUUCAUUUCAGUCCCUGAAACUUAGAUCCUCUCCCCAGCCAAAAGUUUCGCCAGCUAUGAGUAGCUUACAAGGAUAUUAUGGUCUUAAACUGCCAGAUCAGAAAGCUGCAUCUGAAGGAUUUGAAAUGGCAGAGUAUAGUAAGGGAGGAUCACAUUAUUUAGAAGAUGGCCCGUUUUACAAAUCCUCUCCUCUUUAAAAUCCACCACUUAGUCUUCAGAGAAAAUCUAAAAGUGUAGCCAAUGGUUUUAUGUCAGAGAAUGGAGUUCCUGCAAAUCAUUUAUCAACACAGGACACUAGAGACAAUGGUUCGGAUAGAUGUUUAACAUUAAUCAAUCAAUCAUGCAGAGGGUAACAUCAGACUAUGGCCACUCUCCAAUUGUGUUGCAGUGUGGUGAUUGGGGAGCCUCCAAUUCUAACUUCUAAUUCGAGAAUUGGUGGCUUCAAACCGAGGGGUUUAAAGAGAAGGUCAAGAUCUGGUGGGACUUUUUUCCCAAUGUUGGAAAUCCUGAUUUUGUUCUAGUGACCAACCUGAAGGAGCUGAAGACCAAACUCAAGGACUGGAGUAAAUCAAUCCAAGGUAAUUUGAGAAUUCAAAAGCAGUUGGUAUUGGCAAAAUUGGCAGAACUAGAAGAAAUCCAAGAACAUAGAACCUUGCAAGAGAAGGAAAUUGUGUCCAGAAUGACUCUUCUAAAUGAUUUUGAAGAUAUUGCCAGAAAGGAAGAGAUAGCUUGGCAACAGAGGUCCAUGGCAACAUGGCUAAAUGAAGGAGAUAGAAAUACCAACUUCUUCCAUAAAACAACAAAUGCUCAUGGGAGAACCAACACUAUUGAUAGACUGAAAGUAAGGGAGGUGAUGAUAGAAAAUCCAGUCGAAAUCAAGAAGGAAAUAGUGACCUUCUAUGAGAACUUUUAUGCUGAAACAGAAGAAUGGAGGCCUCAUUUAGGGAUGGAGAAUUGCCCUAGGAUAAAUAACAGUAGAUAAUUUUAGCAAUCUUACUGAGGAGAAGGAUUCACUGGUUUGGCAGAGUGACAUUCAUGGUAAAUUCUCAGUCAAUUCAGCAUAUAGGGCACUGAACAAGACUGCAGACCAAGAGACAGACUGGCAAUGGAGGAUGAUCUGGAAACCAAAGGUGCUCUACAAAGUGAAUUGCUUUUUGUGGUUGCUGUCAAAAGAAGCGGUUCUGACCCAUGAAAAUCUGAAGAAAAGAGGAUAUCAUUUUGCCUCUGGAUGUACUCUGUGUGGAGAGCAAGCAGAGACAAUCAACCAUCUUUUUUUACACUGUAAGUGGACUGAGCAGCUAUGGAGAAUGUUCUUUUGCCUGAAAGCAAUUAUGUGGGUGAAACCAGGAAGCAUCAAAGGAGUUCUAAGUAGCUAGAUUAGGGAUGGCAAUGCUUCAAAGGAGGAGAGAUGGAAGUUUGUCCCAGCAUGUGUUUGUUGGACAAUUUGGAAAGAGAGGAACAAUACGAGCUUUGAGAAUGUACAGAAUAGCCUUCAGAAGAUUAAAAUGAAUUACUUAGCUCUUCUCUAUUUUUGGUGUAAACAAGAUAUUUUAGCUAGAACAGAAGAUAUCUUUGAUGUACUAGAUUGUUUAUAGGCAUCAAUCCAAUUAAGUCAAAAACUCUGCAAGAUGUAAUACUUUUUAUUGAAGGGGAACUACACUUUUGGUUGUAGUUUACCUGUGGAUAUCUAUAGACUAAUGUUACCAGCCUAAAAAAAAAGGAAAUUAGUGAGAAGGCGUCAAAAGUCAGAGACUCAUUUCACGGGUACUCCAGAAAUGCUGUUGAAGGAAGAUGACUCAAUGCAACUCAAAUAAUACUACAUAAACUUGUACAAACAGUAAAACUCCAUAAAUACACAGAAACAACAUUAAAACAUACUAGAAUUGAACAAUUAUCUUAUCAGAAGUAACAAUGACCAAUUCUAACACUUCAGCUCCAAAUCCAACUAGAUCCAAACCUAGCUUUGUUUAAAAAAAGCAGAAAACCAAAUCAUAGCGAUGAAAAACUCUGAUAGCUCAGAGUAGCAACCAAAGGAUUUAUUUUUAUGAGAUAUGAGUUAUAAUAUACCAUAGUAUAUUUGGAUAUGAUUCUUUGGAUUGUCCUUUUAUCUCUUUUCAAGUAUUUCUGAUAAUUAAAAGACUCAUAUCCCAAAAAAAGCUUGCAGUUCCCAAAAAAACAGAUAACAGAAACUACUUAAUGAAAAAAAAAUGUUCAUUAUUGUAAGAACCCUUUCCCAGACCCCACUAGUGGGAUCACACUAUGUAUGUUGUUUAUUGGAAGAACUCAACUUAUAAUAAGUUAAAUCAGCAGGAAGAACAGUGGCAAACUCAAAAAAAGAAGAAAACCAAAAACAAUACAAACAAUGAGGAGAGACCUAAGACAACUCAAGAACAUAUGGAUCAGGCUAAUUCCCAGAAAAGUCACAGUCAUACAAGUAAAAAUUUUAUUACUCGUAACUCUUAUAUUGAUCUUUUUGAACCAGAUCUGCCAAACAGUCCAUGUACAGGCAAAAAUCAUCAUGAAGACAAGGCACCGACUGGGAAAACACGGGCCAAACUAGGGGAAGAUUCUGUGUUACCAACCCCUAUAUCCCAAAAUCCUCCCUCUAUGCCUAAUGUACUUGCAGGUAUGUACAAAGAAGGAAAUACAAAGGCCUCUAAGAUCAAAGGUAUUGAAUCAAUGCUCCCAAUACCCCUCACCCAUUUAAAUAAUUGUUUAACUGUUGUGGAAGCUACUGGAGGGUAACAUUACUAACUUGCAGGAAGGGGUAUCUAAAGGGGGAUUUCUGCAUCAUGAGAACUUACACACUGACCCUAAGAAAGACCCUAGAGAUUCUACUACCACUUCUCAUCAGACCACACAAGAGAACCAGCACAAUCAGCUCAUCCAUCAGGGAAAGGUUUCUUUUCAGGGACACAGUAAACAAAAUGAUCAACAGGGUAAUCUCAAUUCUUCUCAUAACACUCAGAAAAAGAAUUAGAAAAAAGAAUGUUCAUUAGAGAGAAUAGGAACAAAACAUACAAGAUAGUGGGGCCACAAAGCAAGGGCAAACUAUCAACAACAAAUCUCAGGGCAAACUAAACAAAAAGAAAAGAGAUUCCAUCAAAAGAAGGCAACAACAAGCAGCAGGGACAGAAGAGAAUAAUGGGCAAGAGCUACAGGUUCAAGUUGGUCAAAAUGAACAUAGCAACAUCAUAAAUACAGAUUAUGAAAUGAUACAUUAGAGUAUGAUCAGGACACAUAGUCUUUGGUGCAAGUUUUUCAAUUUGGAGGCUUAAUGCAUGAAAGAGUUGACUUAUGUCAACAUCCGAAGAUUCUGAUGUUGGAUCAAAAUUCCAUCAGUUCCAUCAGCUACGGAUGUGUCCUUUUGGUGUAGUGUGAUGUUUGGUUCGGGUUUCGAGGCUUCUGUUUGGAGUGUGUACGAUUAGGCGUUUUAGUUUUUGUGGUGAAAACUAGAAAGAAUAUGAUAAAUUAACACAGUUUAUAAUUUCACUAUACCAACUGAAAAACAACAACAACAAGAACCAAAAGAAAAAGAUGAUCACUUAGACUGUUUAUGUGUACAUGACGCGCAAUCAUAUUGUCUUUCCAGUAUUCCAACUCAAAAAAUAUGCACUUUUUGUUCCAUAUAUUUUGCAACAAAUUAUCAACAUCAUCCCAUUUCCUUUUACAAGAUUUGGCCAAUAGAUCUUUACCAAACUUGUUUUUAACAUUAUUCAAUUGCUUAAGAAUCUCAAUUCCCGUCAACCGUUUAGGUGCUCUAUCUAACUCCACAAGGCCAUUGAAUGCCACUUUAUCUUUUCGAAACUUGUGUCCAUGAGAUAACCAUCGUCUAUGAGACAUGAAACAAUAUUUUCGCCCAUUUUUCAAUCUUGUAUAUUUAGUUUUGGUAAGACAACAUGGACAAGCAUAUCUAGUUUUCACACCAUAUCCUGAUAAGUUACCUAACCCUGGAAAAUCACUAAUUGUCCAAAGCAAUGUUGCACGCAUUUGAAACAUGUGAUUGUUUGAUAUGUCAUAAGUGGCAACACCAACCCACAAUUAUUUUAACUCAUCAACUAAGGGUUGUAGAUAGACAUCAAUAUCAUUACCUGGUGCACGAGGACCAUCAAUA